rnacentral:rRNA from 1 species
CCUACGGGAGGCAGCAGUCGGGAAUUUUGGGCAAUGGGCGAAAGCCUGACCCAGCAACGCCGCGUGAAGGAUGAAAUUUUUCGGAAUGUAAACUUCGCAAGAACGGGAAGAAUAAGUAGAGGAUAAUACCUUCUAUGAUGACGGUACCGUUUGUAAGCUCCGGCUAACUCCGUGCCAGCAGCCGCGGUAAUACGGGGGGAGCAAGCGUUGUUCGGAUUUACUGGGCGUAAAGGGCGCGUAGGCGGUCGUGACGAGUCACUUGUGAAAUCUCCGGGCUUAACUCGGAACGGUCAAGUGAUACUGUCGGACUAGAGUACAGAAGGGGCAACUGGAAUUCUCGGUGUAGCGGUGAAAUGCGUAGAUAUCGAGAGGAACACCUGCGGCGAAGGCGGGUUGCUGGGCUGAUACUGACGCUGAGGCGCGAAAGCCAGGGGAGCGAACGGGAUUAGAUACCCCGGUAGUCCUGGCCUUAAACGAUGAAUGCUUGGUGUCUCGGGUUAUAAAGUCCCGGGGUGCCGUCGCUAACGCUUUUAGCAUCCCGCCUGGGGAGUACGGUCGCAAGACUGAAACUCAAAGGAAUUGACGG